rnacentral:rRNA from 2 species
GGCUGUUCGCCAUUUAAAGUGGUACGCGAGCUGGGUUUAGAACGUCGUGAGACAGUUCGGUCCCUAUCUGCCGUGGGCGCUGGAGAACUGAGGGGGGCUGCUCCUAGUACGAGAGGACCGGAGUGGACGCAUCACUGGUGUUCGGGUUGUCAUGCCAAUGGCACUGCCCGGUAGCUAAAUGCGGAAGAGAUAAGUGCUGAAAGCAUCUAAGCACGAAACUUGCCCCGAGAUGAGUUCUCCCUGACCCUUUAAGGGUCCUGAAGGAACGUUGAAGACGACGACGUUGAUAGGCCGGGUGUGUAAGCGCAGCGAUGCGUUGAGCUAACCGGUACUAAUGAACCGUGAGGCUUAACCUUACAACGCCGAAGGUGUUU